AGGGGUGUAAUUCAGUGGCAGAGUACUUGCCUAGCAUGCAUGAGACCCUGGGUUUAAUCCCUAGUACUACAA
rfam:Ictidomys tridecemlineatus contig093556, whole genome shotgun sequence.